rnacentral:tRNA from 1 species
GGGGAUGUAGCUCAGCAUAGAACCCUUGCCUAGCAUGGAAGAAGCCCUGGGUUUGAGCCCCAGCAUUACCA